rnacentral:rRNA from 1 species
GUGAGGAAUAUUGGUCAAUGGCCGGAAGGCUGAACCAGCCAUGCCGCGUGCAGGAAUAAGGCCCUAUGGGUCGUAAACUGCUUUUGUGGUGGAGCAAUAAGACGUACGUGUACGUCGAUGAGAGUACAUCACGAAUAAGCAUCGGCUAACUCCGUGCCAGCAGCCGCGGUAAUACGGAGGAUGCAAGCGUUAUCCGGAUUUAUUGGGUUUAAAGGGUGCGUAGGCUGUUCGUCAAGUCAGAGGUGAAAUACCACAGCUUAACUGUGGAACUGCCUUUGAUACUGGCGAGCUGGAAUACGGAUGCCGUGGGAGGAAUGAGUAGUGUAGCGGUGAAAUGCAUAGAUAUUACUCAGAACACCGAUUGCGAAGGCAUCUCACGAAUCCGUCAUUGACGCUGAGGCACGAAAGCGUGGGGAUCAAACAGG